rnacentral:rRNA from 1 species
AGCGAACGCUGGCGGCAGGCCUAACACAUGCAAGUCGAACGAACUCUUCGGAGUUAGUGGCGGACGGGUGAGUAACACGUGGGAACGUGCCUUUAGGUUCGGAAUAACUCAGGGAAACUUGUGCUAAUACCGAAUGUGCCCUUCGGGGGAAAGAUUUAUCGCCUUUAGAGCGGCCCGCGUCUGAUUAGCUAGUUGGUGAGGUAAUGGCUCGCCAAGGCGACGAUCAGUAGCUGGUCUGAGAGGAUGAUCAGCCACAUUGGGACUGAGACACGGCCCAAACUCCUACGGGAGGCAGCAGUGGGGAAUCUUGCGCAAUGGGCGAAAGCCUGACGCAGCCCUGCCGCGUGAAUGAUGAAGGUCUUAGGAUUGUAAAAUUCUUUCACCGGGGACGAUAAUGACGGUACCCGGAGAAGAAGCCCCGGCUAACUUCGUGCCAGCCGCCGCCGUAA